rnacentral:lncRNA from 1 species
AAUACUUUUUAUUUCUGGUAUCAGUUUUGAAAGUCUUCACUUAAAACACACACACACACACACACACACACACACACACACACACAUGCGUGCGUGUGAGUGCAUGUGAGUGUGAUAUUUGAGUCUUUUCAAGUUUUUUUUUGUAAUUUACUUAUGAGUUUGUUGAUUUUUAUCUUUAGAAAUCUCUUAAUUUUAUUGGUUUCCCCUGUUUUCUUUCUAAUCAUUUUAUAGUUUUAUCUAUUGUAAGUAUUGAAUCUGAUCUGUAAUUAUUUUCCUGUUGUGACUGUCAGGCUAAUAUUUGGGACAUCACAUCACUUUUCAGGUAGGUAUAUACUAGUAUAAUGUAGGUGUAUAGUACUAUAGUGUGGGUGUACCAUACUGUCACCCUUCUCUUUUUUAAAAUCUUUUAUUUUUGAGAUUAUAAUAUGUAGUUACGUCAUUUCUCCCUUCCCAUUCUUUUCCCUAAACUCUCUCACACACCACUCCUUGUUUCUUUCAAAUUCAUGGCCCUCCCCACUCCACUCAUUUCGGAAGAGGGGACAGAAAGAGUUUAAGAGCCAAAGGAUCAGGGAGUUUUCAAUAACACCGAGACCAUGUCCAUGAAGUCUCACCCAAAUGACUGGUUAUCACUCUCAUGAGUACACUGUCACUCUCUUCCGACACACCAGAAGAGGGCAUCGGAUCCUAUUUCACAUGGUUGUGAGCCACCAUGUGGAUGUUGGGAAUUGAACUCAGGACCUCUGGAAGAGCCCAGCGGUUAAGAGAACUGACUCCUCUUCCAGGUCCUGGCAUUCUUUGGUUAAAGUUGCUUUUGCAGCGUGCCACAGGGAGCUUUGUUGUCCUCACAUCUGAGAUGUUUUAAAUGUCCGCUUUUAAGAUUUAUUUAACCCUUGGGCCACUCAGAAGAACGUUGUUAAGCUCACACACACUUGUGCCUUUCUCCCAGCAUCAUCUUCCAGGUCUCUACCAUGGAUGUUGGGAAUCAGACUGAUACCACUUUGAUCUUAGGAUCUGUUGCUUUACUUUGUGGCGUACUUUGUGGUUUAUCCCAGAGAGUAGUUCAUGGGUGUUAAAGAACCAUGUUGGCUCUGUCUGUUUAGUCUUUCCCUGGAUGUUGUGUUGGGAAGCUCCAUAGAGUCCUUGGGACAGAUAAGGCACCGUUUGAACACCAGGGCUUAGAAUUAAUCACUGUGGAGAAGGCCUCUCAUAGCUUAUGUGAACUUAAUGCAGGGGCUCGCUCACUCCUCUGUCACAAACUGCCAACAUUCUCUCAACUGCAGAUCUCUCACACCACCUCUGUAGUCAUUCUCUCUUCAGUGAGGCAGCCUGCACAGUGGUGGAGCUGUGGCAAAUAUGGACUCCUUUCUCUUUCAUUUAAAGUAGAUUGGUAGUCUUUUCAAUAGACCAUUAGAAGAGUAACUGCUCUGUAUGAUUUAAGGAGACUCUGAACUUUGACUGUGUACUGUAUAAUAUAUGGCUGGUUUGAAGCUCUGGGGUCAAGGGUUAGAAGUAAAGAAUUUAUUGCUAGAUUAUAUCUCCUCUCACUUUUAAAGAGAUGGUAUAUUUGGAACAUUAAAUUAUAACUAUUUUUUCCUUCCAGAAAUGGUCUUAGGGAAGAUAUACUAAAUUAAUAUUUUCCAAUUGUGGUCAAACCCUUUUCAUAUUUGCUACUUUCUCAGAAAUGAUUGAAGAGAGGAAGACUUAGGGUAAAGGAAAAAAAAAGAUACAGGCGGUGUUAAAUUUGCACUUUCUAGAGCCUUGGUCUGGAAACAUUUCUGGUUUUGAAUGUGUCUGACAGCGGUAGUAGGCAGAAACAUUCCAGAUACUAUCGCAAGAGAAAACAUUUUGAAGAAAAACUCUUUCUUUGUGAUUGUACCACUGUGAGCAAUGCAAAGUAUAAUCAUGUUAUGCCACCUCCAAUCAUUUUGAGGGUGACAUGAAUAUCUACGUGCUGAAUGGCCUCCAACCCUGUUCUGAAGGUGCUCACGAGCUGGAUGUCAAUCCCCUCGCUGUCAGAGGCUGGGUCAAAGAGUGUGGUCUCUGGAAGCUCAAUUCUCAAGCCAAGCCAAGGUUAUGUGGUGUUGGGGACCAUCCUUCUCAGAUGCUUCAGCUCUGUUUCCCCCCGACCCUCCCCCCAGUGUUACCCCACUCAACGCUUCCUUGAGGUUAUAAUAAAGCAAACACAAAACCCAAAAUAAUUAUGGGUGGUGCACACUACUCUUAACAUGCCUUGGUAACUCACUUCUCUAAGAAUUAUGAUGACUAUUAGACUUCUUUUUAUUAUUCAUGUGCCAGCCUGUUGUCUUAGGCAUGAUACUGAGAGUAUUUUUCUAACCCGUACUCUAAUCUCAUGAGACAGUAACUCCCCCUUUCUGGAUGAAUGUCACUUCUCAAGGUGUUCCAGCAGAUGAGGAAGAACAAGGGUUUGAACCCAGCUUUAUAAACUAAGCAAUUUGUGUCUUCUUGGCCGUUCUUCCUGCCUCUCACAACAACAGAGCCAAUACUCCACCUCUCUCAAUACAUGGGUUCAUAUAACUGUCUAUCCCUUUGUGAACCCACCUGAUACUCCUCUCAUCAGAAGUUCAACAUGCAAUUGGCAUGAUCUGCAAAGGCGAAUUUACUUGAACUUGCGCAGAGGUCAGGAAGCAGUGUAAACCAUCUAGCUUGUGUGGCUUCCUUCCUAGGGUCAGACUGGACAGAAACACUGAAGGAACAAGAAUUAGUUGUAGUAUGGAAUUAGAACUGCAGAAGAAAGCACUACUGUACUUAGGAGAUUUAUGUGAGCUGUGCAUCUUGGUGGCAGGCAGCCAUUGUGGUUGGAGGGCCUUGUAGGUAAAAAGAGGCCAGGAGAGGGGGUUCAGUGUAUUAACUCUGCGAGGACCACAGAAGACAGAGGAGGUAAGGGUGGGGAGCAAGUAGAUAAAACAGCAAGCACACUUACCACGCUUGCUGCUGGUUUUCAAAGGUGAAUCUUGCUUGCACUGGAUCAUGAAAUUGAGGAUGGGAUUAGAGUUUUGUCCGGAGGACAUCUUCCUCUACGCUUCUCAUUUGGCCACACAGACGGCCCUUCAUAGCUGUGUUCUAAUUUCCCCCCUCGGCCUACUCUUAUAUCGUUAUUCAAUGAAGUAAUAAUGUUAAAAGCAAGACAAUCUAUAAUGCACUUUCAAUAAAACUCUGAAAAACAGUCAUUGAUCUUUCCGUGUGUUGGCUACCUACCCCCAGCUGCCUUAUGGCUCUUGAUGGUGGAGGUGGCUAAAUGACCAAGAUACUUAAUAUGUAAGUUAUGAAACAUUUCCACUUCCUUAUUUACCACUUAAUGGUCAUUAAAAGAGAAGGAACAUCAUCCUUUUCCAGGUGAUGUAAGAUGGAUCUUGGCUUGACUAGAGUACUCAUUUAUCAAUAAUCAAUUACUCAGUUAACCAUUAAAGAUAAUAAUCAUUUCCACCACACUUACAAUAAAACGCUACAAACGUCGAUGAAUCAUUAUCUUACCCUAGGGCAGAACUUAAAUCAAUUUCUUAUUACCAUUCAUUUUACUUCUGCAACUGUGAUGGACAUUCAGAAGAAGGCCGGGGCAUAAGAAAACCCGCAGCUGGUUGCAGUGUUUGAAGGUAAGACCAUGCUGCUGGGGUUUGUGGGAAGCCUGUGGAUUUUCCUGCAGACGGGGCAUGGCUGUGUUCAACACGCACAUAGCAUUUUGACUCCUGUUCCAGUUCUUUCCCAUGUUUUCCUCAUGGUCCUCAGGAACGUUCACUGGGGAUUGCCAACUGAAACUCAUUCAGACUACUUCUGACCAGCUGACGGGGUACUCACUUUCCUCAGAACAAACAGCUUUAUUUUGUAGGUUACACACUAGGCAAUACUUCACAUGGGUGGAAUCAUGUGGUGGAGAUACAAGGUCAUCGGCCCCCCCAUCCUGUUUAGAAUAAAAUAAAAAUGUCUUGAGACUGACAGGACCCCAAAGGAUCUCCUGUCCACGCAGUUCCAUAUCUCACCAUAUGAGAUAUCAUUACACUGUAUUUAUCUGCUGACUCUACUCCACCCAUCACAGUCUGAGUCACUGUCUUUCCAUGAGGAACCCGAACUUGUUACCCCAUUUACCUACUC